GGUUGAGAUGGAAAUAAGAGACAGACUUGUUGAAAGUCUCUGGGUAAGAUAAAAGGGGUAAAAAACCCAAGGGUGAUAUCCUGGUAGGGGUCUACUAAAGACCACCUAACCAGGAAGAAGAGGUGGAUGAGGCUUUUUUUAAACAGCUAACAAAA